GUCAACAGUUCCUAGGGCUUCCACUAGAUGUCAACAGUUCCCAGGGCUUCCACUAGAUGUCAACAGUUCCUAUGGCUUCCACUAGAUGUCAACAGUUCCUAGGGCUUCCACUAGAUGUCAACAGUUCCUAUGGCUUCCACUAGAUGUUAACAGUUCCUAGGGCCACUAGAUGUCAACAGUUCCUAGGGCCACUUGAUGUCAACAGUUCCUAGGGCUUCCACUAGAUGGCAACAGUUCCUAGGGCUUCCACUAGAUGUCAACAGUUCCUAGGUCUUCCACUAGAUGUCAACAGUUCCUAGGGCUUCCACUAGAUGUCAACAGUUCCUAUGGCUUCCACUAGAUGUCAACAGUUCCUAUGGCUUCCACUAGAUGUCAACAGUUCCUAGGACUUCCACUAGAUGUCAACAGUUCCUAGGACUUCCACUAGAUGUCAACAGUUCCUAGGACUUCCACUAGAUGUCAACAGUCUUUAGAAAUUGUUUGAUGUUUUUCUUUUGAGAAAUGAAGAAGUAUUCAUAUUAAGUGUAAGAUCUUCAAUGGUAAGGCUUUAAUUAUAUCGCUAUUUCUGACUUUUGUGUUGCACCUGCCUGAUUGAAAUAUGUUUUUCAUGUGUUUGUAUGCGUUGCGCUGUCCUCAGAUAAUCACAUUAUUUGCUUUUUGCAAAAGCCUUUUUGAAAUCUGACACAGCGGCUGGAUUAACAAGAAGUUAAGGUUUAUUUUGAUGUAUAACACAUAUAUUUUCAAGAAUGUUAAAUAUUUUAAAUUGGUAUUUUUGAAUUUCG
ensembl:lncRNA